rnacentral:lncRNA from 1 species
UUGUAUUCAUUUCACUUGGAGUGGUAGGGGAGCAAUAUCUCUUGAGGUGCGUGGAACAGCUAUGCAUUUUAGCUUGAAUUAUGAUAUGAAACCAUAUUCAGUUGCGUCUUCCUAAAGGCUAAAUGUUAUUUUCUUGUGCAAUAUAAAAUGGCAUGAUUCUUGCAGUAAUAGUUUUCUUGGUAAAUUAAGCAGCAAUUGGAUUUAUAGUGGAACCAGUUAUUCUACUUAUGAGGAAUUCCUUCCUACUAAGUUCUACCUGAUUGAACUUUGAAGGUAUUCUAAGAAUUGAAGAAUUUGAUUUGCACCAAACAAUAGAUAACUGACUGUCGUGGUACUUUUCAUAUUUUAUUCAAUUCAAGUCAAAUUAUGGUCAAAUAUAAAAAUUACAGGGAAGUUAUUAUGUUACAUAAUUUAAAGUUGAUUGCCAAAGAUAAUAUGCAUCAAUAGCUUUGAAAUCUUACAGCAUAUAAAUAACUUUGUCUAGGGCUUGGACUUGCGAGUUGUGGAGAAUGUUGAAGAAGCUGAGUUUGUUUUGGCUCAUGGGACUGAAGCCUUGGGGGGUGCCAAUGGGAAUGCACGUUCAAUGAAACUUGAAGACCUUGAACAAAUAUUGGAGCUUUGCGCUGCAAAAAGGAUUCCUAUGGUGGUAGCGAAUCCAGAUUAUGUAACUGUUGAAGCAAGAGACCUGCGUGUGAUGCCUGGUGAAUUUGAUUUAUCUUCUAAAAACAUAACACCUAAAUAGUAGUUAUAAGCUGUUUUUUGGUCCAAAGUUGCAGCAUAAGUUUCAUUUAUAUGACAUGGCUAUCAGUAUCACAUUACAUGUCUAAGAAUUGUACUUGGUUGUUAUUCGAGUUCUGUUUUUUUCUCCUAUCCAGUUUCACCUUAUACCAAAUUGUGUGUGUACUUCAAACUUAUUAGGUACGCUAGCAGCUAAAUAUGAAAAGCUUGGGGGUGAAGUGAAAUGGAUGGGCAAACCUGAUGAGGUGAUGAAACCAUUUCUAUGCGAUAUAAAUCCAUUUUGAUAAUUGUUUUGUCUUGUGUGUCAUACUGUACUCUAUUCUAUUAGUACCUAGGCUGCUAAGAUUACAUGCGUACAAUAUACAAGUAGGAAUGCAUAUUCAACAAUCUUAGCUCGUGAAUUUCUUCCCUAGUUGGCUUGCUCAUUUGGCACACAAGGCAAGUGUUACCUUUCUACAAGAUUAAACAUCAUGUUCAAUCCUUCAAGGAUUUCUAAGUUAGCUGCUUCCUGCAAUUACAAUUGUGAACAAUGUGUUUGCACUUUGCAGUAUGAGCAUACAAAAGUAAAUUCAUUUUUUGAAUUACCAAGCUAAACUAAGUUGUAAGUUGCAAAUAGUAAGUAAUUCUCAUUUAUUGGUUUAAAUUAUCUAAAACGAUUUUCUUCAUAUUCACAAAUAAAUGAAUUCUAGAGUUGCGACUCCAGAGUGAUGACUUUACCUAACUACCACCCUUGACUCGAGGAUUAGUCUCACUGCCUUGCCUGUGCGUCUUCCCAAUCUAAAACAAAUUCUACAUAAUUCUUUGUCCAUGGCUUGCAAUGAUCCAGCUCAUAUAUUCUUAAAGUAGAUACAUACUGUUAGGAAGUAGCAACCUAUUUAUUUAUAUAUUAUACGAUCAUAAUGAUUAACAUCUUCGAGGAUCUUGAUAUAAUAUCUUCCGUUGCAUUUUUUUUUAUCCAUCCAUGUUCUUGACAAUACUGUUGUGAUUUGUCAGAUAAUAUACAAGUCAGCUAUGGCCAUGGCCGGUACAGAUGUUUCCGACUGUAUUGCUGUGGGUGAUUCUCUCCAUCAUGAUAUUAAGGGUGCUAAUGCUGCUGGAAUCCAAUCAAUUUUUAUCACUGGAGGGAUUCAUGCAACUGAACUUGGACUCCAUGGUUUUGGAGAAGAAGCAGAUUCAUCUUCUGUAGAAUCACUUGUGACAAAAUAUAAUGCAUACCCAUCCUAUGUGUUGCCUGCAUUCACGUGGUAGAACAAUAUCACAAGGAACCCAAACCACUACAAUAACUUUUUUUGUUCGAGUAUUUGUAUGAUUUGCUGUCCAUUUGUACAAACAGGAAACUAUGCCCAUGCAAAGAUAUUUGGAAACUAAUAAGAUAAGAAAGAGAAGAAUACAGUGAAAUUGCAGAACUCUAUAAUUUUGAACUUCAUUGCAAACUUUGUGAUAAGUCUCAAAGUUUAAGUGCUUGUUUGGUUUGGCGUUUCCUAAGCAACAGACGCACGUCUCCCACCCGUCAACAUGGUUUCUCAUUUUACAGCAUGUUUGGUUCUCUUUUCUAAAAUCAAUUCAAUCUUCUAAAAUCAAUUCCAUGAGAAACUCAUUCUCUCUAUUUUCCUUUAGAUCUGUCUCGUUUUUUCUCUUCUUCCUGCACAGCUCAUUUCGGUCUCUCUUCUAUCUCUGCAUUUCUUAGUGGACCAUGCCUCUUUACUAUUUUCUUACAUGCUGUUUCCAACAAUUUUUUUGGUGGCAACCAUCCAUAAUUAUUUUUAGCAAAUCUCCUGCAGUUGUGUGCGUUCGAGUUUUUUUUUAGGCAGAUGAAUGAUUUUGAUUGAUGUCAACUCAAUAUGGAUAACUCUACUAUUUUAUUGUUGAUGAAUAAUGUAGCUGUCACCUUGUUAUUUUCGUUGUUAAUUUGUUACUCGUUCAUUUAAUUUUUGUUUGUGACACUUAGCUCAAUGGUGAGAGCUAGCUUUGUAACUUUAAUAUACUUGAUUCAAAUUUCACCCAGAGUAAUCGUAAAAUGACCAUUAACAGCACUUUCAUUAUUAAAAUAUUUCUCCUUCCCCCAACUUUUUUUAAAAAUUAAUUGUGGUUUUUUGGUGGUGAAAUUAAUUGUGGUUUGUUACAUAAAACUAAAAUUGUGACAUAAGGAAAUCCUUACAUACACUUCCAUUGCGCCACUAAUCCAAUACACGUUGUCACUCUCCAAUAGUAUUUACUCAUUCAAUAUGUUCUAUUUGAAAUUCAGUAAAAGAAAAUGAUCUAUUUUAAAUUAAGUGUAGUUUUGUUUUAGCGAAUCUAAACGUGAGUUCCCCCUGCGCACAAGGUGCGCUAAGGAAGGUAAACUAAAAGGAAAAUGCUAAAUGUCGCGAAGCAUCAUGUCUGUGGGAAAACGCGAAUGAGUGGCAAUGGGAAAAACACUGAAAACAACCAUCUUUUUCCAGCUCUUUUGUAUCUGAUAAAUGCAUAAGACCGGCAUCCUCAUCUCUCUCAUUGCAAAGCCUUCAAUCCAACAACUCUAUUUCAUCAAUUGCACGUUUGUUUGUGUCAAGUCGGAAAGCGCCGUGUUUUCGAAUUUGACUGGUUUCAAGGAUUAGAUGGAUUUUACUUCCUCUUAAAUUGCAUUGCUUCAAAGAUCAAACUUCAAAGCCUACAAUAUGCAAACCAGUUCUUCAAUUUUGACAGAUUUUUUUUUAUCAUUUUCAAUAUCUUUUUGGAAUGAAAUAGAAUGGAUUGUGAAAUGUAAUAUUAGAUUUUAUGCUGCUUUGAAUUGGAGCUUGAUUUGGUGUUGUUUUAACUUUUUCUUUUUCUUGUUUCUUACAAGGAAAUAUUUGAAGUAGAAGAGGCAAACGGUUAGGUCAAAAUGAAAAUAGGGUUAAAUAUGUUUUUUGUCUCUAUAAAUAUAUCAACUUUUCGUUUUACUUCCUCUAAAAUUUUCCUUCAACUUUUAGUCCCUAUAAAAUUUUCAAUCACUACUUUUGGUCUCUAUUUUUAAGUAAAUUUUUGUAUUUUUUUAAUGAAAUUGUGCAGAAAUUUAUGGAAUAUUGUAAAAAUCACUUCCAAAAUUUUUUUGAAUUUUUUAAUAAAACAUGAAUUAAAUAUGAAUUUUUUACCGUCAAAAAUAUAAAAAUUCAUAUUUAAUUCAUGUUUUGGUAAAAAAUUCUAAUUUUUUUUUGGGAGAGGUCUUUAUAAUAUUAUAUAUUUUUCUGCAAAAUUUAAUUAAAAAAAAAUAUGAAUUUUACAUAUGAGUUUACUUUAAACGAGGGACCAAAAAUAAAGAUUGAAAAUUUUAUAGGACUAAAAGUUAAAGGAAAAUUUUAGAGAAACUAAAACAAAAAGUUGAUAUAUUUAUAGGGAUUAAAACAUAUUUAACCCAUGAAAAUAUUUAGACAGGACUCUCGUGAAGUAUUCGUGAAAUCGCUGUUGCCUUAUAUAGCAACGCUCAAACUAAAAAAUUAGUACAAAGACAGCAGCAAAGGCAAGCUACAGCAAAACACAAAAGCAACUACAAAAGCAACCACUCAUAGUAAGUGUAGGUAAAGUUUAUCAUUUUAGCCUUGAGCUAUGUAAAAUAUGAAUAUCUCAGACUCAUAGUAAUUUCAUAUUUCCAACAACAAAAAAAUUGUUUAAAAAAAAUUGUUUUUUCUAAGGGUACAAAAAAAAUUGUUAUUUUUAUUUUUUUAAUGUAAUAUUAAUUGAAUUUUAUAUUAUACCCUCUAAUUAAUAUUACGUACGUCACUCUUAAAUUAUUGUUUUUUACUUUGCAUCUUUUUUAAGAGACCAAAAUAAUUAUAUUAAAACACUUCUAUGAAGCACAAGAUGUGCCUAAUAGGAGACAAAAGAUUACAAGUGUUUAAGACAAACAAAAUAAAAGGAAUUCAUAUGGCUUAAAGCUCAGAAGCCGUACUUCUUAAAGUCGAUAAAUAAGUACGGCUUCUGAGCUUUAAGCCAUCACUAUAAAUAAAGUUUAACACGAUCUAAAAGUUACUACUUUAAUAAGGUUUUGGCAGAGAAAAUAUGAGAAUUACGCUUACUCCAAAUGACUCAAACACAUGUCAUCCAAAUAACGUGAAAGUAGUGACGAAUAUUCUUACAAAACAAGUGGGAGCCAACAAAUUGAAACACAUGCAAACCCACGUCAUUAGGCAACACACUUUGAACUCCCAACCAACCAACCAACGCAUAACAUCAAUCCAAAUGCUAUCAAAGAAAGCUUACUCCACAAAUAGAUGAAUAAUAAUUUCCUCCUUUUUGCAGCCCCUAAACAUAGUAACGAAUCCAAAUUAAUAACGCCGCGACACACCAAAUUGUAUUUGGUAGGAAUCUUCUUACUCAAUUUGCAUCUAUGAUAACGAGAAUCAACUAAUACUAUAUGUUGAUGGAGUUAGUUCUAAAAGAAAUUGUUAUUCAAUUUCUAUUAUUUGUAAAUUAUAACUUCUUUUUUACUGUGUAAAAUAAUCUACUUUGAUAAUUUUGUGAGAAUGAGAAAGUAAUAUAUAUAUAUAUAUAUAUAUAUAUAUAUAUAUGUCAUUUUUUUAAGAAAAAAUUGUCAUCGGAAUCAAGAGUAACGAUAAGACCAAGUCCAUUCCAGCUAUGUCAUUAAAAAAGCCAAAAAGAAAACCCUUUCCAGCUAUUUGUGUAAGAAAAUUGCUUUUUUUGACAUAAAAAACGUCCUAAUGACACAAGAAAAUUACCCAAAAACCCCAGCAGUAGUUAACUACCGUUCUGCAAAGCGGCGGCAGUUAACUACAGUUGAAGUCUUUCUUUACACAUGCCCACUUGUUUGUUUCGGCCACCAACUAACACUUUUUAAUAGAUAUGUAAAAUUAUGCCACGUGCCAUUAGCAAGAGAGUUUUCUUAAGAUAGAUUUCACUCUAUUGAUAAUAUCUGUUUUUCAAGCAGGAGGGAUGAUCCUUGGUUUGCAUCAUUGGGAAGAUCUUGUAUUCAUUUCACUUGGAGUGGUAGGGGAGCAAUAUCUCUUGAGGUGCGUGGAACAGCUAUGCAUUUUAGCUUGAAUUAUGAUAUGAAACCAUAUUCAGUUGCGUCUUCCUAAAGGCUAAAUGUUAUUUUCUUGUGCAAUAUAAAAUGGCAUGAUUCUUGCAGUAAUAGUUUUCUUGGUAAAUUAAGCAGCAAUUGGAUUUAUA